CCACUGGCUGCAGGGACCUGGAGGUCUGCACCAGUUCCAGUGACCACUCAGAACCCACCUGGCGCACCCCCCAAUGUGCUCUGGCAGACGCCAUUGGCUUGGCAGAACCCCUCAGGCUGGCAAAACCAGACAGCCAGGCAGACCCCACCAGCACGUCAGAGCCCUCCAGCUAGGCAGACCCCACCAGCCUGGCAGAACCCAGUCGCUUGGCAGAACCCAGUGAUUUGGCCAAACCCAGUAAUCUGGCAGAACCCAGUGAUCUGGCCAAACCCCAUUGUCUGGCCCGGCCCUGUUGUCUGGCCGAAUCCACUGGCCUGGCAGAAUCCACCUGGAUGGCAGACUCCACCUGGAUGGCAGACCCCACCGGGCUGGCAGGGUCCUCCAGACUGGCAAGGUCCUCCUGACUGGCCGCUACCACCCGACUGGCCACUGCCACCUGAUUGGCCACUUCCCACUGACUGGCCACUACCACCUGACUGGAUCCCCGCUGAUUGGCCAAUUCCACCUGACUGGCAGAACCUGCGCCCCUCGCCUAACCUGCGCCCUUCUCCCAACUCGCGUGCCUCACAGAACCCAGGUGCUGCACAGCCCCGAGAUGUGGCCCUUCUUCAGGAAAGAGCAAAUAAGUUGGUCAAGUACUUGAUGCUUAAGGACUACACAAAGGUGCCCAUCAAGCGCUCAGAAAUGCUGAGAGAUAUCAUCCGUGAAUACACUGAUGUUUAUCCAGAAAUCAUUGAACGUGCAUGCUUUGUCCUAGAGAAGAAAUUUGGGAUUCAACUGAAAGAAAUUGACAAAGAAGAACACCUGUAUAUUCUCAUCAGUACCCCCGAGUCCCUGGCUGGCAUACUGGGAACGUAAGACACCCAAGCUCGGUCUCCUCUUGGUGAUUCUGGGUGUCAUCUUCAUGAAUGGCAACCGUGCCAGUGAGGCUGUCCUCUGGGAGGCACUACGCAAGAUGGGACUGCGUCCUGGGGUGAGACAUCCCCUCCUUGGAGAUCUAAGGAAACUUCUCACCUAUGAGUUUGUAAAGCAGAAAUACCUGGACUACAGACGAGUGCCCAACAGCAACCCCCCGGAGUAUGAGUUCCUCUGGGGCCUCCGUUCCUACCAUGAGACUAGCAAGAUGAAAGUGCUGAGAUUCAUUGCAGAGAGACCCUCGUGACUGGACUGCACAGUUCAUGGAGGCUGCAGAUGAGGCCUUGGAUGCUCUGGAUGCUGCUGCAGCUGAGGCCGAAGCCCGGGCUGAAGCAAGAACCCGCAUGGGAAUUGGAGAUGAGGCUGUGUCUGGGCCCUGGAGCUGGGAUGACAUUGAGUUUGAGCUGCUGACCUGGGAUGAGGAAGGAGAUUUUGGAGAUCCCUGGUCCAGAAUUCCAUUUACCUUCUGGGCCAGAUACCACCAGAAUGCCCGCUCCAGAUUCCCUCAGACCUUUGCCGGUCCCAUUAUUGGUCCUGGUGGUACAGCCAGUGCCAACUUCGCUGCCAACUUUGGUGCCAUUGGUUUCUUCUGGGUUGAGUGAGAUGUUGGAUAUUGCUAUCAAUCGCAGUAGUCUUUCCCCUGUGUGAGGCUGAAGCCUCAGAUUCCUUCUAAACACAGCUAUCUAGAGAGCCACAUCCUGUUGACUGAAAGUGGCAUGCAAGAUAAAUUUAUUUGCUGUUCCUUGUCUACUGCUUUUUUUCCCCUUGUGUGCUGUCAAGUUUUGGUAUCAGAAAUAAACAUUGAAAUUGCAA
rnacentral:lncRNA from 1 species